CCUACGGGUGGUAGCAGUGAGGAAUAUUGGUCAAUGGACGAAAGUCUGAACCAGCCAUGCCGCGUGCAGGAAGACGGCUCUUUGAGUUGUAAACUGCUUUUGUCCAGGGCCAAACCUGGAUACGCGUAUUCAGCUGAGUGUACUGGACGAAAAAGCAUCGGCUAACUCCGUGCCAGCAGCCGCGGUAAUACGGAGGAUCCAAGCGUUAUCCGGAUUUAUUGGGUUUAAAGGGUGCGCAGGCGGGUGGAUAAGUCAGAGGUAAAAUGUCCGGGCUCAACUCGGGGACGGCCUCUAAUACUGUUGUUCUAGAGAUUGAGUGAAGUAUGCGGAAUUCGUGGUGUAGCGGUGAAAUGCAUAGAGAUCAUACAGAACACCGAUUGCGAAGGCAGCUUACC
rnacentral:rRNA from 1 species